rnacentral:lncRNA from 1 species
CGGCGACCAUUGAAACGGUUUCUUUCUUCCUCGCCAUCAUCCUGGCGAGGCCAAAAUCGGCGAUUCUGGCGUCGAGAUUCGCGUCGAGCAAGAUAUUGUUGGAUUUGAUGUCUCUGUGAAUCACCGGAGGAUGACAAUCAUGGUGGAGGUAAGCGAGGCCGUGAGCUACACCUAACGCGAUGUUGUAACGCGAAACCCAAUCAACGAGAAGUCUCCCGGCGGCGUUUUUGCCGUGAAUCGCAUCACCAAGGUUUCCGUUGAGCAUGAAUUCAUAUACGAUCAUCAUGUUUUUGUCGUUGUAUAAGAACCCUAGGAGCCUCACUAUGUUUCUGUGUCUCAAUUUCCCGAGGAGGUUAACUUCGCCUACGAAAUCUCCGGUGGUUCCAUCUUCAAUAUCCGCGGCAGAUCUCCAGAGCUUCUUCACGGCGAGAACUGUGCUUGAUCGUGACAUUUCUGCUUUGUACACGAUUCCGGUUGCUCCCAUUCCGAUCAUGUUUGAUUCUUUGAUACAUGCCAAGAUAUCGGAAGCUGUAAACCCUAAUCUAUGAAACGCCAUUAAUCUCCAAGGCCAUUCACCUUUGCUCGCCGUCUCGUCGCCGCAGAAUCCGUUAGAAUACCAUUUCUUGUACAGAGUUCUCGUAACAAUGGUGAGAAUCCCUAGAGCUAGAACCGAUGCUAUCCCAAUCAACCAUCCGGCGACAAUUCGUUUCCCGUGGAGGCUACUGUGACUCGAUGUUGCUCUUUGGAAUUUACUACACGGUGGUAGAACGCCGCCGCAGAGACCGGAGUUUCCUCUUAGAUCAUCUGGAUUUAUGGUUUUGAGAAAGCCGUUGAUAGGGACUGGACCUGUGAGCUUGUUGUAUGAGACGUUUAGGAGUUCCAGAGCUGGAGAUGUUCCGAUGCUCUCUGGUAGUACUCCGGUUAAGGAAUUGUUGGAGAGAUCUAGCACUGCUAAUGCAGACAUUGUCGUGAUCUGUCUAGGGAUUUCGCCGGUGAGGUUAUUAUUUCUUAGGUUGAGGCUUACGAGCUUCUCGCAUGAAGCAAUGCUUGAAGGGAUAGUGCCAGUGAGAGUGUUUGAUGAGAGAUCGAGAUUAGAGAGUGAAGGACAAUCCUGGAAUUGGUCUGGAACUUCGCCGGAGAUAAAGUUAUCGGCGACUAAAAACGCCUGUAGGUUGUGAAUUGAGAGGAUUGUGGAAGGGAGAGAUGAUCGGAUCUGGUUUCUUGAGAAAUCAAUGAAAGAAAGUGAAACUGAAUCGGAGAUGUCUCCAGGGAUCCCUCCGCUGAGACGAUUUCCGGCUAGUUCGAGUCUCUGUAGCUUCUCAAGCUUGCCAAAGCCGAUAGGAAUUGAUCCGUUUAGUAGAUUGUUCUGCAUUCUAACACGAACUAGUGAUUGGCAAGUGGAAAGAGUCGCUGGAAUCUGACCGGUGAAGGUGUUGUUGAAGAGAAUGAGCUUGGUUAGAUUUCCCUUGUUGCAUAGAGUUGAAGGAAUCUCGCCUGAGAAGGAGUUUGAAGAAACGUCAAGCCAUUGUAAUGGAGAAUUCUUCCCGAGAUCGCUUGGUAACUCGCCGGAGAGCGUGUUGUUCCAGAGCUCGAGGACUUGUAACUGUGCUAGACUGCUGAUGGCGGGAGGAAUGGAGCCUGAGAGUUUGUUGCGCAUCAGGUUCAGUAGCUGGAGGUUCUUGAGCUUUGUUAUCUCCAUUGGAAUCUCGCCGGUUAACGCAUUAUCGGAGAAAUCAAGAACCUUUAGCGUGGUAAUGCUUCCUAUCUCUCUUGGAAUUGUUCCGGUGAAGUUAUUCUCGUACAGGAGAAGCGUCUCGAGUGACUUGAGCUUCCCAAGCUCUGACGGAAUCUCACCACUGAGCUUUCCGAUGGCCAAAUCAAGGUACUUGAGGCUGUUUAUGUUUCCAAAUUCCGGUGGAAUCGGACCUUUGAAUUCGUUGUAACCAAGAAUGGCGGUUUCAAGUGAAGGGAGCUGGCCGAGAACGCUUGGUAACUCGCCGGUGAGAUUGUUUCCGGAUAAUCCGAGAAAUCUCAGCUUCUGUAGAUUCUUGAAUGAACUUGGAAGUGACCCUUGAAAGAAAUUCCCUCGGAGAUCAAGAACUUCUAAAGAGACUAAGUUCCCGAGAUCCUCCGUGAGAUUUCCGGAGAGAUUGUUCCCUGAAGCAUUGAGGUGAACAAGCCCAAGUGAUUCAUUGCUAAAUAGAAAAAGACUCCCUGAGAAUGAAUUCUGGCUGAUGUCAAUAGAUUUCAACGGAGGGAUUGAUUUCGGGAGCAGCGACUCGAAUCCGUUGCAUGAUAUGUUAAACGAGACAAGGCUACUCAGCUGGCUGAUCGAAUCUGAGAUUUUGCCUGUGAGAUUCAUCCCCGCCAGGUCGAGCUUCUCAACAUUGCCAUUUGAGUUGCACCGAACACCGGUCCAAUUACAGUGAUCGCUGGUGUCUGAAAGCUUCCAGUCUUUGAGAAAGUUGAGAGGAUCCACAAGAGUUGAUUUCACCGACAGCAAAACAGAGAGCUCGUUGACAUUGUCGAUGGAAGCUAAAACAGAGGAAGUAGAACCAAUGUAACAGUAGUAAAGGAAGAGAACUAUUAUCUUCAUCUUCAUCUUCAACUUCUUCCUCUGUCUCAACAGCUUCAACUGAAACUUGACUCCUUAGUUCAUUACCAAGAACGAGACUAGUGAACAUGCAAGGAGGUGGUGGAGGAAGAGAGUAGAAUAAGAAGAAACUCUGUAAGUAUAUGCUUG